rnacentral:rRNA from 1 species
AACGAACGCUGGCGGCAGGCUUAACACAUGCAAGUCGAACGCCCCGCAAGGGGAGUGGCAGACGGGUGAGUAACGCGUGGGAAUCUACCCAUCCCUACGGAACAACUCCGGGAAACUGGAGCUAAUACCGUAUACGCCCUUAGGGGGAAAGAUUUAUCGGGGAUGGAUGAGCCCGCGUUGGAUUAGCUAGUUGGUGGGGUAAAGGCCUACCAAGGCGACGAUCCAUAGCUGGUCUGAGAGGAUGAUCAGCCACAUUGGGACUGAGACACGGCCCAAACUCCUACGGGAGGCAGCAGUGGGGGAUAGUGGACAAUGGGCGCAAGCCUGAUACAGCCAUGCCGCGUGAGUGAUGAAGGCCUUAGGGUUGUAAAGCUCUUUCACCGAUGAAGAUAAUGACGGUAGUCGGAGAAGAAGCCCCGGCUAACUUCGUGCCAGCCGCCGCCGUAAAAC